UGAGGAGUAUUGGACAAUGGGCGCAAGCCUGAUCCAGCCAUGCCGCGUGCAGGAAGAAGCAUCUAUGGUGUGUAAACUGCUUUUGUACGGGAAGAAACACUCCUACGUGUAGGAGCUUGACGGUACCGUAAGAAUAAGGAUCGGCUAACUCCGUGCCAGCAGCCGCGGUAAUACGGAGGAUCCAAGCGAUAUCCGGAAUCAUUGGGUUUAAAGGGUCCGUAGGCGGUUUAGUAAGUCAGUGGUGAAAGCCAAUCGCUCAACGAUGGAACGGCCAUUGAUACUGCUAGACCUGAAUUAUUAGGAAGGAACUAGAAUAUGUAGUGUAGCGGUGAAAUGCUUAGAUAUUACAUAGAAUACCAAUUGCGAAGGCAGGUUACUACUAAUGGAUUGACGCUGAUGGACGAAAGCGUGGGGAGCGAACA
rnacentral:rRNA from 1 species